rnacentral:rRNA from 1 species
CGUAGGACCCAAGCGUUAUCCGGAAUUACUGGGCGUAAAGAGUUGCGUAGGUGGCAUAGUAAGUAGAUAGUGAAAGCGUGUGGCUCAACCAUACAUCCAUUAUCUAAACUGCUAAGCUAGAAGAUGAGAGAGGUAGAUGGAAUUCCUGAUGUAGGGGUAAUAUCCGUAGAUAUCAGGAGGAACACCGAUGGCGUAGGCAGUCUACUGGCUCAUUCUUGACACUAAGGCACGAAAGCGUGGGGAGCAAACAGGAUUAGAUACCCUGGUAGUCCACGCCGUAAACUAUGGAUGCUAGCUGUAAGCCGUAUCGACCCGGCUUGUAGCGAAGCUAACGCGUUAAGCAUCCCGCCUGUGGAGUACGGUCGCAAGACUA